rnacentral:SRP_RNA from 1 species
GCCUGGUGCAGUUUGCGACUGCAGUCCCAGCCGGUGUGGGGGCCGAGGCAGGAGGCUUGCUUGAGUCCAGGAGUUCUGGGCUGUAGUGUACACUAUGCCAAUGGGUGUCUUCACAAAGUUCAGCACCAAUCUAGUGACCUCCCAGAAGUGUGGACCACCAGGUUGCCUAAGGAGGGUGAAUCAGCCCAGGAUGGAAAUAGAGUAAAUGAAAGGGAACAGGUCAAAACUCCAGAGCUGAUCAGUAGUGAAAUGGCACCUGUGAAUAGCUACUGCACUCCAGCCUGGGCAACAUAGGGAGAUUCAUCCCUA